UUUAAACCGGAAAUGCUAGCUUGACCAACUUUUACCCAUUCAUUGGCACAAACCUGGUGUUCUUCUCUGUCUAUUGGAUAUUCCCAUAAUCAACUUCCAUAUCAGAAUUUUUAGAUCAAAAUGUGGCCAUCAGAAUUAUGGAACCCUGAUACCGAAAGAAGGAUAAGAAAAUUGAGGAAUUGUUUAACGAGUUGCAGCAUGAGAAGAGAUCUGCAGGUUUUCGGGAGCGACACUAUUUGGUUUUGAAUGACAUGAGGUACAUGCACAACAUGUCACUAAGUUCAACAGAUUAUCAAUGAUAUCCAAGAAAUUGAGUCUUCCCAAAUUUGAAGAUGGUUAUGUAUUGGCCAUAGUGGUAGCUUAAUUAGCCAAUUGAAACUUAGAGGAAUGACAAACUCCCAAAUCACAUUAAACCACCUGCUACUUUUUCUGGAGAUGGCAAUUUCUGGAGAUGGUUUUGCCAUAGGUAGUCCAUUCAUAAACCUAGCUCCAGGUCUUCAGAUUGCUCCAGGCAACCACAGAGCUAAUCUUGGAAGUAAUAAAAUGCUUGUCUGAGUGCCUGGAUUAAUCUUGGCAGACAGGCCAAACAGUUGGCAGAAUUGCAUAGUCAAUAAUACUGUUUCGCUGCAACUCAAUUGUCAGUCGAACGAAAAAUAGGGGUUACAGGUGCUAUCAAUUUUAUGGAAAAAUAAGCGUUGCGUGUAUUGUUGUUUCGAUUCUUCCUGAGAACCAAACACGUUUUUGAUAAGUGCAGUGCCUUUCAAAUCAGCAGCCUAAUCAAAUAACAAAAAUGCAAUCACUUCACACGUCUUCAUAUGCGAUAUGGAUCAGAUUGUUAGUUAAACGCCGAUGACAGUGGGCAGAAAGGAUGGGAAAUAGGAUUUCUAGAAGCAACCUCGCCAAGGAUUCAGAUCCAUUCUGCUGGAUAUUUUUCUUGGCAAUCUGAAUCUGAAUUCGUAUAGUAGGCCAAAGUAAGACAAUCCUCAAGACCCAAGGAAGUGGAACCCCAUCCACCGGAAUCUAUAAACUUCUUUGGGGACUGUCUGAUAUCUUUCAGCAACAUACUCCAGUCUGGGCUUGUACUGUUAACAUAAUACUUCACACCCCAGUUGUUCAGACGAUGUUUUAUGCCAGUGAGAAAUUUUAAGGGAAUAGAGCAGAUUUUAAGCACAUCACGCUCGUAGUCAUUGAAUACGACUGUCAUAUCAAUUUUUUCAUGUCCAAGACGCGCCAGGUUAACAAUCUCAAUAUCCCGUAGCAGGAUCACAACAGAAGGUAUUUCUUCUUCAAGCAAAACCAAGGCACCAUAAAUCAGGGCAAAUAAUGAAGCACCUGUGUGAACUUCUCCAGAAAAUUCUAACUCCUCUAGUGCAUGGAAAUGUAUAGGUAGCACACUCUCGGGACUCUGAGGUUCUUGUUGUACUUUGUGGACGAAGUUAUUCAAAUCUUCGUUACGGCCGCUA